rnacentral:rRNA from 1 species
CAGUCGCCGCGGUAAAACGUAGGUGGCAAGCGUUGUCCGGAAUUAUUGGGCGUAAAGGGCUCGCAGGCGGUUUCUUAAGUCUGAUGUGAAAGCCCCCGGCUCAACCGGGGAGGGUCAUUGGAAACUGGGAAACUUGAGUGCAGAAGAGGAGAGUGGAAUUCCACGUGUAGCGGUGAAAUGCGUAGAGAUGUGGAGGAACACCAGUGGCGAAGGCGACUCUCUGGUCUGUAACUGACGCUGAGGUGCGAAAGCGUGGGGAGCGAACAGGAUUAGAUACCCCUGUAGUCCCUGUCUCUUAUAC